UGCAGUCGAGCGAAUGGAUUAAGANCUUGCUCCUUAUGAAGUUAGCGGCGGACGGGUGAGUAACACGUGGGUAACCUGCCCAUAAGACUGGGAUAACUCCGGGAAACCGGGGCUAAUACCGGAUAACAUUUUGAACCGCAUGGUUCGAAAUUGAAAGGCGGCUUCGGCUGUCACUUAUGGAUGGACCCGCGUCGCAUUAGCUAGUUGGUGAGGUAACGGCUCACCAAGGCAACGAUGCGUAGCCGACCUGAGAGGGUGAUCGGCCACACUGGGACUGAGACACGGCCCAGACUCCUACGGGAGGCAGCAGUAGGGAAUCUUCCGCAAUGGACGAAAGUCUGACGGAGCAACGCCGCGUGAGUGAUGAAGGCUUUCGGGUCGUAAAACUCUGUUGUUAGGGAAGAACAAGUGCUAGUUGAAUAAGCUGGCACCUUGACGGUACCUAACCAGAAAGCCACGGCUAACUACGUGCCAGCAGCCGCGGUAAUACGUAGGUGGCAAGCGUUAUCCGGAAUUAUUGGGCGUAAAGCGCGCGCAGGUGGUUUCUUAAGUCUGAUGUGAAAGCCCACGGCUCAACCGUGGAGGGUCAUUGGAAACUGGGAGACUUGAGUGCAGAAGAGGAAAGUGGAAUUCCAUGUGUAGCGGUGAAAUGCG
rnacentral:rRNA from 1 species